GGGGGAAGCUCCCGAGGCAGCUGUGAAAAGAGCUGACCUCCGGUCCGUGGGGAGUCCGUUGCCGCCAUCAUGCGAUGUUAAACUGAGGAAUUGGCCAGGUGUUCUUGAUUAGGAUGGCGAGCUAAGACCGGAACCUACAUCUUCAUCAUCUCACCCUACGGGUCUGGUAGGAGGCUGACACAGCCUGCCCCCCCCACUCUUCCAAUCUUUUGCUGACUUUUUAACUAUAAUCAAGGCCAAUGCACACUAUUCCAAUGAACAAUACAAAUGGAUACUACGCAAAGAACUCAUACUCUCAAACAUUGAAAAGUCAGUAAUAAGUGGACGCCACCCGUAUGGAGUACUUCCUUUCAUUUUCUUCCUUUUGUUGCUACUAACUCAUCUCGACCAACUAGAACUUAAAGUGCACUUACCUAUCACAUCUGCAGAGUGUAAAUAUUCGGGGGUUUCAUUAUUGUUUUCAUUAUUAUUAUAUUACUAUUUUGUGUUGCUAUUUUUGUUUCUGUAAAUAUUAUGUUGUACUAUUCACUUCAAUAUACGGUGCCAGUACCCAACAUAAUUCCUGCCUCCUGCUGCAUUUCUUACUUACUACACCAGCUCCAGCAGUCGAAUCCCAAUCUUCUGAUCUCAGUCAAACUCAGCCCAAUUCACACAGUAACUUUCCCUUUUAUUAAUAAAUAUAAGUUAGCACGCAAAUACAUGCUACAAUUAGAACCCUGUGACAGCCCACUCACUGGUCUAAACCUAAACAAGCGUUAUGACAGCUGCAGUACUUACACCACACCAGAAAGUACGAGCACAUAAGUCCUGUGCUCAGGUCUCUGCACUGGCUCCUGUGGCUCAGAGAAUAGACUUUAAAGCAGCUCUGCUUGUGUAUAAGUCUCUCUAAUGACCAGCACCAACGUACAUCUCCGACAUGUUAGUGCCAUAUGAACCAUCUCACACUCUGAGGACUUCGGGGACAGGACUAAACAUGGGGGAUCAGUGUUUUCAGUUUUUUUUUUCAGUCUUCCUGGAGAUGUGAGAUGAUGAUUAUUUAUGUUUUGAUUUGUUUGUAUUAUGAUUUUAAUAUCUAUCUUAUUCUGUAAAGCACUUUGAAUUACUGUGUACAAAUUGUGCUGUACGAACUUGUCCAAGUUUUUUUUUUUUUUUUUUACCUCAGUUUAAAAAAACCUUUUCGUUCAUGGUUCUGGGGUUGUUGUGUUUAUCCUUGCCAUGCUGCAAACUGCCAAAUAAAACUAUUGAUACUAUUACUGCUACUAGAUGGUAAUUGGUUCAAAGUUAGGAGAUGACAAAUCUUGAUUAUUAUAAUACCAAUAAUACAUAAGGCCAAUUUUUUUUUUAUUUUCAAGGUACUGUACCUGAUUUUUACUGUAAAAAAACAUGAAAACUAGAAUAAGUUCAUUUUAAACGGGUUGCAGUGGUCCAGAGUUAUUCUUCACUUUAACAUAUUUCGAGCAUCCCAAUUAAUCACUGUAAUGAGUUUAAAAGCGCUUUAUACAAGGCCAGUGUUGAGUUUACUGCCAUUGUAAUGCUAAUGCUAAGUGUAUAAGCCUUAAAUCAUGGUUUGUAAAUGUAUCAAGUAUCAUAGCAACCAUAAAGCCAAUCCAGAGAGAGGCUGUUAAAGAUAAUGUUCCUCCCCGCCCACACCGCUGUUUUGGCAGGGAGCAGAUGAAUAGCAACGAUGUCAAUCAAACCUGUUGCUAACGCGAGCGGAAGCGACCUUGGUGAAAGACGCCGACUGAUUUGUCUGUUAUUAAUGUUCAUAUCUUGAUUUAUGGAUAAAAAACUGAAAUAGAAAUAUCAGGAUCAUGUAGAGCGGGUUAAUACGAACAUUUUAAGACCAAAAUAAUGAGUCUGACAGCAGCAGGUAUGGAGACAGGGGCGACAGAUUUUCAAUAGAAAGUGAAUUGGAGCCAGUUAAGUGUGCCCAUACUCACUGCCUAUUUAGAACGUGACUAGCAGGUUAGCUAUGUUGAUUUAUGUAUAUACAGUCUAUAGUUUUGAGGUAAUACAAACUUUACUUGCAUAAAAAAUGAGUAUAAUCUCUUUCACAUGCCACUAAAUCUAUAAUAAUUGCUCAUUACCUCAUUUCCUGUUUGCUACUAACACCACUUCAGUUGAAAGAUAUUUUCUAAUAACGCUCUAAUUUCAAUUCAAAACGUAUUCAAGAGUAAAUUUGGUAAGCAUUAGGUAUUAAAUACAAGCGACGGGGAAUAAACAGGAUGCAUUCAGCAGAUAAGAGCAGGUUGCCAAAUUAAAAACAAGAAAGCGGAAAAUUCCUUCCUAUUCAAGAUGCUUUUAGCCCCAAGAAUAACACUGUUCAUUUUUAACCGAGAGCAUUUGAACGCACCUCAAAGACUUAUUGGAUUUCUGGGCUCUGGUUUUGAAAUGUAAGCAGUACAGUGUGGAGUGAAAUCAAUAGCUCUGCGCCUGGUUAAGUGCUAAUCAAAACAUAGCACUCACCAGAAGAAGGCAUUUAAGGAACAUUCCCAGCAUGCUUUGAGGCGAAGACUCGGGAGCGCGUAUAUAAUUGUGUGAUGUAAAGGUUAUAUUACUCACAGAAUGGAGAGUUUAUGGUUUCACUUUCACCAUUAUCCAUGCUUUUAGUUAUGAGUCCAAUGUGGUUAAAAGGGUCAGAUGUGCCAAAGGGCUUUAGGCGGACUAACGUUAGCACAGAACAAAAGGAAUGUUGGGGUUUUACCAAAUAGUGUUGGAAAGCAUUUUAAAUCAUUUAUUCUGAAGUUCAAUUUUUUAUUUUUCUAUUUUGGCUAAUGUCUUGGGGUAGCACUUUUUACAUAGCAGCACACAACACAUUGUACCAACCUCCUUUAAAGCAGACCUAUUAUGCAAACGCUUUUAACCAUUUUAUAGUUGUUUCCUUCUCACCAUUUACCCUCUCAAACUUGUAUUUGUGUCAUGAUCCGUACCGUCCACUCCACGUUUUACCUCCUGUCCUGCUCCUUCCCUCCUCCUGGCUCCUCCUGCGCGCACCUGCAGCUCAUCAGCGCAAUUACCUCCACCUGCUGCGGAGCAUAAGAGGAGCCAGGACCAGACACUCAGCGCGAGAUCGUCUGUUUCUUCACCCUGUUCUGUGCCAGCGUUCCUUCGUUCCUGCAUUCCUGUGUUGCUUCAUCCUGUUUGUGGCCAGAGUGUCCACAUGUCUACGUCCCUGCUCCCUCGCUCGUCCCAGCUCCUGGCUUCUGGCUCAGCUCCUGACCUCCCGCUCCGGCUCUGGUACAGAUUACUCCUUGUCUUCACCUCCUUGUCUCAUCCUGGACUCCGUCUUGCUCCACGUCUCCCGCUCCGGCCCCGGUACUGUUCAACUCCUGGUCUUCACCCUCUUGUCUCGUCCCGGACUCUGACUCACACCCCGCUCCCAGUUCCUUGCUGGGUUAAUGAACUCUUGUUAAUUAUUUCACAAUCUGCAAAAUAAACACUGUAAAUCUG